GAUGAACGCUAGCGGCAGGCUUAAUACAUGCAAGUCGAGGGGCAUCAAGGUACACGAAAGUGUAUUGUUGGCGACCGGCGGACGGGUGAGUAAUAGGUAGGUAACCUACCUCAUACUGAGGCAUAGCUGGGAGAAAUUCCAGGUAAUUCCUCAUGAGGUUAUAUGACACAUGUGAUAUAAUCAAAGGUAUCGCAAGGUACUGGUAUGAGAUGGGCUUACUGACCAUUAGCUAGUUGGUGAGAUAAGAGCUCACCAAGGCGAAGAUGGUUAGGGGUUUGAGAGAGAGAUCCCCCACAUUGGAACUGAGAUACGGUCCAGACUCCUACGGGAGGCAGCAGUAGGGAAUAUUGGGCAAUGGGCGGAAGCCUGACCCAGCCAUGCCGCGUGAAGGAAGACGGCCUUAUGGGUUGUAAACUUCUUUACUAUGCGACUAACUAGAUUUACGAGAUAAUUCUAUAGAAUGUAGCAUAGCAAAAGCACGGA
rnacentral:rRNA from 1 species